GGGUAAGUGAAGCUUUAAAUGAAAUUGCUUCACAAAAUUUGGAUCAUGCUCCUGCUAGAAGAAGGGUUCGAUCAGCUUUUGCUAAUGUUCAACAGCAGCUUGAUCAUAUCUUGUUUAAGAUGGCUCCAGGUGAUAUCAGAUUAGAGGAGUGGUAUGAAACAAAUUCGAAAGGCCAACAGAUUUUUUGCAAAAGUUGGCUGCCAAAGCCUGGCAUACGAAUUAAAGGUGCUUUGUGCUUCAGUCAUGGAUAUGGUGAUACUUGCACGUUCUUCUUUGAAGGUAUUGCGAAGCAUAUAGCGGCUGCUGGCUAUGCUGUCUAUGCUAUUGACCAUCCCGGUUUUGGUCUCUCUGAUGGUUUGCAUGGAUAUAUUCCUGAGUUUGAU
rnacentral:misc_RNA from 1 species